CGUUCAGCCCUCGGGUCGGCGUACAGGUGCUGCAUGGCUGUCGUCAGCUCGUGCUGUGAAGUGUGGUUAAGUCCGCAACGAGCGCAACCCUGCUAUCUGUUGCCAGCAAGUAAUGUUGGGGACUCAGAUGGAACUGCCGGUGGACAAACCGGAGGAAGGUGGGGACGACGUCAAGUCAUCAUGGCCCUUAUGUCCUGGGCUACACACGUGCUACAAUGGCCGGUACAGAGCGCAGCGAAGCCGCGAGGCAAAGCGAAUCGCUAAAAGCCGGUCUCAGUACGGAUUGGAGUCUGAAACCCGACUCCAUGAAGUUGGAAUCGCUAGUAAUCGCGCAUCAGCAUGGCGCGGUGAAUACGUUCCCGGGCCUU
rnacentral:rRNA from 1 species